rnacentral:misc_RNA from 1 species
AAGUCGUAACAAGGUUUCCGUGCGGAAGGAUCAUUAACACAGGUAAGACAGCCGCUAGGCCGGCGAUUCUGUGACCAAGCGCCUGGGCUCACGCCUCUAAGCUAAUUUGCGUCAUGGGAUUGUCGAGCGCUAGUUCGUUUUCUGUUUGGCCUGUUUUUCUAGAUGUGGGAUCCCUGCACUACUGUCUACGUGACCUGGACUAACAUAUCGCGUCAUGAAGUCUUAAGUUGUGGGCUCCGCCCAGCCUAACGGCAACCGCCUUUAAGUCGCAUUUAAUUGAACUCUUAGCGACCGAAAAAAAGAUGAUACUAACGUCGCGGACUGGGGAGACCCGGGCGACGCAACGAAACCCGAACAACUGUUAACAAUGGAUAUCUUGGUUCUC